CUUCAGGAAACCCCAACUUCCUACAAAUGAUGGGACAAGUCAGAAACGACAGUGUAAUAAUAGUGUAGUAACAAAAAUAACUUCUACCAUCUUUAACCAUAGUCAACAUGUGAAUAGUGCAACACUAUUCACUGAAAAUGACAUGGAGUCAUCACAUAAGUAUAUGCAUCACGUUUUAUAAUUCAAGUGUAUAUAUAUAUGUGUGUAUGUAAAGGCGAGUCAUUAUUUUCUGCAAAAUCUGCAGACAAGAAUUUAAAUCAAGGGAGACAUAUCCCCAAAAUCAGGAAGAGCGUUGAAUUAAAAGCUUUCAAUUAUUUUUUUUGUUGCAUGCGAGUGUCGGCAGAAAGUAGUAUAAGGAAGGAGAGUUGUGAAAUUUCAAGUUUCAUAACUUCUCUGAGGCAUCACUUUGCUACACACACCAAAAUCCAGUAUCACACUUCUGCGACGCACUCUCAAACUUCUUUCUACCAAAAUCAUACGCACCUAAAAUCUCUUUUCACCCAAAAUUUUAAGCAAGCAGACAGAAAAGUUUUCCAUCUUUCCUAGCAAGUUUCAAGCAAGCAUUUUUCAAGAAGGAGAAUUUCAAGCAGAAGCACUUCUAAAUAAACCUUUUAUCGUUCUUUUGAGGUCCAUCGCAAGGAAUUUAACUCCAAGUGGGUUAAUAUUGUCAUACGGAGUAAGAAGCAUACGAGGUUGAGCUGUGAUGGAGGGAAGGGUGCUAAUUAAACCAGACCUACUUAUAGUUCCAUACUCUCGGAGGUUCGUGUCUUCAUACAUGGAACCGCGUUCAGUUCCUUCCGCUGUGCAUUAAAGCAAGUGAAAUUCUUUAUUUCUCUAAAGACUCUGAUAAUUAACCAGUAUAUUGUAUUGUCCCCGACUCGAGUCAUUGUGAUCGAGCCAUUCUAUUCAUGUAUUCAAUGUUUAUACUCUACAGUCAGAAAGUUCAACCAUGAAGUCCAUUUUUUUUA